AAACUGAAGAGUUUGAUCAUGGCUCAGAUUGAACGCUGGCGGCAGGCUUAACACAUGCAAGUCGAGCGGGGGAGGUUGCUUCGGUAACUGACCUAGCGGCGGACGGGUGAGUAAUGCUUAGGAAUCUGCCUAUUAGUGGGGGACAACAUUCCGAAAGGAAUGCUAAUACCGCAUACGUCCUACGGGGGAAAGCAGGGGAUCUUCGGACCUUGCGCUAAUAGAUGAGCCUAAGUCGGAUUAGCUAGUUGGUGGGGUAAAGGCCUACCAAGGCGACGAUCUGUAGCGGGUCUGAGAGGAUGAUCCGCCACACUGGGACUGAGACACGGCCCAGACUCCUACGGGAGGCAGCAGUGGGGAAUAUUGGACAAUGGGCGCAAGCCUGAUCCAGCCAUGCCGCGUGUGUGAAGAAGGCCUUUUGGUUGUAAAGCACUUUAAGCGAGGAGGAGGCUCCUUUAGUUAAUACCUAAAGUGAGUGGACGUUACUCGCAGAAUAAGCACCGGCUAACUCUGUGCCAGCAGCCGCGGUAAUACAGAGGGUGCGAGCGUUAAUCGGAUUUACUGGGCG
rnacentral:rRNA from 1 species